rnacentral:misc_RNA from 1 species
UACGAGGGGGGCAAGCGUUAUUCGGAAUCACUGGGCGUAAAGAGUGUGUAGGCGGUUUCUUAAGUCAAAUGUUAAAUCUCAUAGCCUAACUAUGAGGCCGCGUUUGAUACUGGGUGACUAGAGUUUGGAAGAGAGGGGUGGAAUUCUCGGAGUAGCGGUAAAAUGCGUAGAUCUCGAGAGGAACACCGAUGGCGAAAGCAGCUCCUUGGUCCAAAACUGACGCUCGAACACGAAGGCGUGGGGAGCAAACAGG